rnacentral:lncRNA from 1 species
GGGUUAAGAUGUACGCAGUCCAUACCCCUACCUCUAAAGAAGUAGAAAGGCUGUUUCCGAUAGACCCCCGGCUCAAGUCACGAGAUACCACACAAACUCAUAGUAAAGCACAGAACUAGAUUACAUAACAUAAAUACGACACCCAUAAGUAUUAGAAAACAGAGGAAAGCACACAGAUUCGUAAUAAAACAUGGAACACGGAAUCAUAACAAGAAUAAAACCCCCACCAAGUAAUUCCCUACCCUAGCAACCCAAACCGGCCCUAGUCUUCUGCCCUAAUUCGCGUCCUCCAGACCUUCCUAUAUAGGGCCAUGUCCUCGGUGAGUUGUAACUGCUCCAUGUCCCGCCUAAUCACCUCACCCCAGUACUUCUUUGGCCUACCCCUACCCCGCCUAAAACCAUCCAACGCUAGCCUCUCACACCUACGAACCGGGGCAUCCAUGCCCCUCCUCUUCACGUUUUCGAACCAUCUCAAUCGAGCUUCCCACAUCUUUCACUCCACUGGAGUCACACCAACCUUCUCCCGGAUAGUCUAAUUCCGAACUCUAUCCCCUCUAGUCAGCCCACACAUCCAGCGCAACAUCCGCAUUUCUGCCACCUUCAUUUUUUGGAUGUGGGAGUUCUUAACUGGCCAACACUCCGCUCCAUACAACAUGGCCGGACGGACUACCACCCUGUAGAAUUUGCCUUUCAGCUUGGGCGGUACCUUCUUAUCACACAACACCCCCGACGCGAGCUUCCACUUCAUCCAUCCCGCUCCAAUACGGUGCGAGACAUCCUCGUCAAUCUCUCCGUUACUCUGGAUCAGGACCCGAGAUACUUGAAACUAUCCCGCUUACCUACCUCCUGUGAUUCCAGUUUCACUACUACCUCAUUCUCCCGCCUCACGUCAUUAAACUUGCAUUCCACAUACUCUGUCUUGCUUCUGCUCACCCUGAACCCUUUAGACUCAAGAGUUUGCCUCCACACCUCUAAUUUGUCAUUCACACCCCCUCGAGUCUCACCUAUCAGAACUACAUUGUCUGCAAAAAGCAUACAUCACAGCACCUCCCCUUGAAUACGCCUCGUCAACACAUCCAUCACCAACGCAAACAAAAAGGG